UUAAGUUCAGCGGGUAUUCCUACCUGAUCCGAGGUCAACCUUGUAAAUGAUAUGGGUUGAGACUAGAGCCGUGAGCCCCUUGAAUGCGUGCUACGAGAGCUCGUUGCAUCUAGGGUCCGACGACUCCGCCAUUAACUUUAGGACCCGUCUUUAACGACGAGAGGUCCAACAGCAAGCCAGGCUUGAGGGUUGAUAAUGAC
rnacentral:misc_RNA from 1 species